UACGGAGGUUGCAAGGGUUAUCCGGAUUUACUGGGUUUAAAGGGUGCGUAGGCGGGCUUUUAAGUCAGCGGUGAAAUCUCCGGGCUCAACCCGGAAAUUGCCGUUGAUACUAUUAGUCUUGAAUAAUGUUGAGGUGGGCGGAAUGUGUCAUGUAGCGGUGAAAUGCUUAGAUAUGACACAGAACACCGAUUGCGAAGGCAGCUCGCUAAACAUUUAUUGACGCUGAGGCACGAAAGCGUGGGGAUCAAACAGG
rnacentral:rRNA from 1 species